rnacentral:lncRNA from 1 species
GUAAAGCAGGUUCCCUACAGCAGGUUGCACAAGAAAGUGUCCAGAUGGGUUUUGAAUAUCUCCGGAGAAAGAGACUUCAUAACCCCUAUGGGUAAUGGCUCGUGGCUUUCUAAGAUUUGAAAACUGCUGCUAACAGAUAACUAGCAUUCCUUCUGAAGCAUUUAAAGCAUGAGUUGAUAGCGGGUCUUUGUAAAAUGCCACCUCUAUGGUUGUGUUUUCCCUCUGGUACCGAAUUGAAAUACAUAAACCUGCCACAGGAUGGCAGCAAUCGACCAGGUUUGAAGCAUCCUCUCACGGGUCCAGGAUUGCAUUUCAAGGGGAGAGAACAAGUAUUCGAGCUAGAUCAUUUGAUCCACGGGUUCUUUUAAGUUGCUUGUGCUGGUCCCUCCUUCGUUCUGCCAUUGAUGUAAUCAACCAGCUGUGACCGAAGCGACUGCCCCAGCACUGAGUGGUAAACAUGCUGCAUUCAGUAGAUAGGAUUUUGCCAUCAUAAGAUAGCUCUUGUAGCCUUGAGUACCACCUUGGCCCCUCUCAUUCAGGUGGGUUUUGAGGACAUGUUGUGGCAGGACAUAAGGUGGAAAGGGGUGCGUGUCUUUUAUUUAAGGAAUGAAAGCUUUUAGUUAGUGCCUGGGAGAAGAAAAGGGAUAGCACUGCUAUGGUAUGGAUAGCAUGAUCAGUUCCUCUUUUCUGCCAAGCUGUUAAAGGGUCAUUUUUUGGUAGGCUUUUAGAAAAAACCUGAGCCUUACAGUUCUCCUCCUCAAAUCACAGAAUAUGUUUGAAAACAUUACGAUGGAGCAAAUGUAUUCCAUCUCAUACCUGGUAUGGGAAAGCACCUCUCAAGCUCACUGCAGGUGCAGAGGGGGCUCAGAUCACAUCAGUGAGAUGUGACCAGGCCGUGAGCUUGGCAAGGAUCAGUUGGGUUUGCCUGGGCAAAUAAAACACACUUUGUGGAAUACCUUGGCA